rnacentral:lncRNA from 1 species
AAGAAACUGCCUCCUGUCGUUUGAUUCCGAUCGAGUUCAGGGAAACAGGACUUUGUGCUCAGUUAUGUAGACGAGUAGGAUUCCAGUGAAGGAAUCCUUGACUGUCUCACCAGAAACAACCUGCCAAAAACCCAGUCACUGUCUUAAGAGAUAUCAACCACCACUCAAGGAGCCCAAAGAACUUAGUGAUUUCAGUCCUCUGUGGGGGGCUGGUAAGUAUUAAAACAAAUCCUAUCUUACAGCUGGGGAAUUAAAGCUUCUGGAAGUGACUCCCCGAAGGUUACACACAAAGCCUGGCCAAAAUGGAACCCAGAUCUCCUGAUGCUGAAUGUUAUGCCUUGAAACACAGAAAACAUGGUUUUGUGCUUGGACCCUGGACUUGGACUCACUUCAACACUGAGAUCAGGCACAGCCUUUCUAUGUAAUCUUCAGCAAGAUGUUUCUAAUCUCUACAUGGCUCAAUUUCCCAUGAAUAGAACGGGGAGGACAGCAUUUCAUUUCUCUCUGCUGGUUGCCUGCUGCCUUUAUGGAUAUGCACUGUGAUGAAUCCUGAAAAUGGUCAGCCUCCCCAUGAACCAACAUGAAAUACAGUGAACGGGGCAUGCCGAAGAUGGAGAGGAGAAUUAAUUGCAUCAGAUCACAAAAGAGCCAACAGCAAAGGGCACAGGAACAGAAGCUGCAGCUAUCAUUGAGAUUAAGGAACAAAGACAUGUGCAAAUAGUCAAAAAAUGCUUUGUGCAAGACCUGAGGCACUCAUUAAGGGACCAGUAAAACCGUUAGCUCUUCUAGUGAGGAGAUCCACAAAGGAGACUCGGUGCCACAACUCUGAGAGAGCUAAAGUUUCCUGAGGGAAUUUCAUCCUGCAGCUCCCACCUCCCAAAUGAAUUCCCCAUCUCAGGACUACAGGCUGCUCAGAGGCUCCUACACUACACCUCCUUCCAGCUCCUGAUACAAGAUGCUUUUGAAAAGAAAAGGAGACAUGUCCUCGUGGUCUUUAGAUGCCAGAACAACCCCUGGAAUCAUGGCAAUUUCUAGCAAACACACUGCCUGCUGAAAAACAAGUGAGACUGGUUGAUCUGUCCUACGUGAAGCUUGUAUUGCUCUGGUUUGAUUCAAAAUGGUGGGAUGCCAACUGUGAGAAUGAAAAUCAGCAUCCAUUCAGACAUGAUUUCUUUGAUGCAAUAGAAAUUCAUGGUUUGUGGAACUAGAUGCAGGAAUCUUUAGUGCUCUGCAGUCAUCAACCCAAC